rnacentral:lncRNA from 1 species
AUAAAAAUAACAUACUGCUUAAAUUACUGAAAGGGAGCUCACUUCUCGUGUAGAUAGUAGUUUACUGUGGUCUUUGGUGGCUCUGACAAACGGGAACAAAUGAUCAAAACCAUCAAACUUAACGAACAUCUUUUCGCUUCUUUUGUGUAUAAUCCUGUUUAAUCUCGAAUUUUAUCAGUUUCGGUGACCAAAUAAUACAACGCAGACAAAAAGUUCCUAGAUUGACAAAGCAAUUUUUAUAAGUAAUGAGAAAUGUUUUAUUGACAAAGCAUAUAGGAAAUAAAAGUGUCAGAUCUCAAUUAUUGCAUCUGCAUCAUGUACAAUGCUGAAUUCGCACCAAAAUGCCAACAAAGAAAUGCAUCUAUGUUUAAGGCUAAGUAUGCAUAUAGGAAAUAAAAGUGUCAGAUCUCAAUUAUUGCAUCUGCAUCAUGUACAAUGCUGAAUUCGCACCAAAAUGCCAACAAAGAAAUGCAUCUAUGUUUAAGGCUAAGUAUGCAUAUAGGAAAUAAAAGUGUCAGAUCUCAAUUAUUGCAUCUGCAUCAUGUACAAUGCUGAAUUCGCACCAAAAUGCCAACAAAGAAAUGCAUCUAUGUUUAAGGCUAAGUAUGCAUAUAGGAAAUAAAAGUGUCAGAUCUCAAUUAUUGCAUCUGCAUCAUGUACAAUGCUGAAUUCGCACCAAAAUGCCAACAAAGAAAUGCAUCUAUGUUUAAGGCUAAGUAUGCAUAUAGGAAAUAAAAGUGUCAGAUCUCAAUUAUUGCAUCUGCAUCAUGUACAAUGCUGAAUUCGCACCAAAAUGCCAACAAAGAAAUGCAUCUAUGUUUAAGGCUAAGUAUGCAUAUAGGAAAAUUCCUCUUUUUGCCUUGAGACUCUUGUUUCUUUCAAUCCAUACAGCACUCCACCAGAUUGUGGUGAGGCAUGCCUCCUUGACCAAGUGGAACAGGAAGCUCUCAAGGGAGCUUUGUUGCAAUAGAUAUCCAUAGCCAUACACAAUUGACAGAAGAUGCAUGCCCUAAGUAAUCAAUGUCAGAUAUGAAUGUUGAUCGUGCUCCAAGAUAACAUUUCAAUGGAAAUCAUCUUUGACUAGUAUGAUGAAUCCUAAAAUUCACCACAGCCGGUCGCACUGACAUUGCUUGAAACAAAAUUGGCAAGAAUGCAAGAUCACUUGACUUUCUCUGGUCACUGCCAUUCACCUUGCCUUCCUGAAAAUUAGCAAGAAUGCCAGCAUAUAAGCAAAUACUGCACUGAUUGGAAGUGCCAAUUUAGAAUUCAAAGCACAAAGAAAUGGGGAACAUACAGCAAGUGUAGCCUUUCUGAAUGACAACAAAACGAUAUGGGCAGCAAGGCACAAAUGACAGUUAUUAUCAGAAGGCAGAAAGUUAAUUAUUACUGGAUCAAUGCCUGACACCUCUGACUUCAAGCACUUUCAACCAAACAGGAUCUUUCUUUCAGAACAACGGAGGAGAAAAUUGAACAGCAGGCUAGUCAUUUUAUUGUGGUUAGCAGACACCCCUUGAUUUGGCUGCUAAAGAUUCUUCUUUCAGGUAACACUAUCAGAAAAAGCAGAUACAGAUAGGCAGAAGUAAACACCAGACUUCUGACUCCAAGCUAUUUCAACCAAAUAGAACCUUGCUUUAACAAUAUCAGACAUGAUAUUACUGAC